rnacentral:rRNA from 1 species
GUUGGUAAAUUUCGUGCCAGCCACAGCGGUCAUACGAUUAACCCGAACUAAUAGGCCCACGGCGUAAAGCGUGUUUAAGAUAACAUAUUACUAAAGUUAAAACUUAACUAAGCCGUAAAAAGCUACAGUUACCAUAAAAUAUACUACGAAAGUGACUUUAAAAUUUUCUGAUUACACGAUAGCUAAGACCCAAACUGGGAUUAGAUACCCCACUAU